rnacentral:rRNA from 1 species
AUAUCAGUAAGCGGAGGAAAAGAAACUAACUAGGAUCCCCUCAGUAGCUGCGAGCGAAGCGGGGUUAGCUCAAGCCGAAAAUCUGCGUGUCAAGCGACAUGUGCAAAGUACAGAGUUGUGGCAUGGAGCUGUGUAUGUCAGUGAUGGCCUGGAUGUGAGUGAUCUGGAAUGAUCCGUCAUGGAGGGUGACAACCCCAUACAGCAUUCAGAGAAGAUGUAACCGUCACGUACGACACACAUGCUUAGAGUCGGAUUGUUUGGGAAUGCAAUCCAAAAUGGGUGGUAAAUGUCAUCUAAAGCUAAAUAUAGAGCAAGAGACCGAUAGCGAACAAGUACCGUGAGG